rnacentral:rRNA from 1 species
UUGCUCGGAAUCACUGGGCGUAAAGGGUGCGUAGGCGGGUCUUUAAGUCAGGGGUGAAAUCCUGGAGCUCAACUCCAGAACUGCCUUUGAUACUGAAGAUCUUGAGUUCGGGAGAGGUGAGUGGAACUGCGAGUGUAGAGGUGAAAUUCGUAGAUAUUCGCAAGAACACCAGAGGCGAAGGCGGCUCACUGGCCCGAUACUGACGCUGAGGCACGAAAGCGUGGGGAGCAAACAGG